UUGGAGUGGAUCUUUAAGGAUGAUAUGGUGCCGCUGUCAGACUCCUCCCCCUCUCCUCUCCACUUGGCUGUUUCUCCAUCCCAGCUGCUGCCACUUACUUCAUCACCUCUUCUGCCUUCAUAAGGAGCCUCUGGAUUACCAGUCUUCGCCAGUCCGUUGCCCCUGAUGGGAUCCAUUGUCACAAGUGGUCGCCUGCAUCAACCUCUGUCUGGAACCUUCCCUCCGUUCGCUCCUGUUGGUCCCACCUCGAGCCUCUGCCGUCUUCUGCCAUCUCUUGGACCCCCUCCGACGUCAACUCCUUCCGACUGCCUGCAGAAAGAUCCAGCAGUGACGCCACUCGAGUUCGAUCUUCACUCUCUGGGAACCCUAGAUCCUGCCCACGGUUUUCUGUCUGUUCACUAUUAAACCCUCUUACCUGCCA